UGGUGAUGGUGCGGGCAAGCAUUCAACAUUUGUUUGAAACGGGCCCAUGCUUGGUACAUAUCCUCCCCAUGUUUUUGCUUAAAACAUAAUAUCUCACUCUUCAACCG